rnacentral:rRNA from 1 species
AUGGUAUAUGCACACCUCUUCGCGUUCUUCAAUAGUGUGAUGUGGUCAUUGUAUGCCUCGACGGAUCUCCCCAACAAGCUCUUGCUCUUCAUCAUCAGUGGAAUGGGCAUCAUCGCUCAUUUUUUCUACAUCAACUUCUACAUCAAGUUUGCAAAAGGGAAGAAGCGCAUGGAAGCCCUUGUCCUUCUAUUCACAGUCAGCAUGGUCUCUGUGAUAAUGAUAGUAAUAGUACUCUCUAUGGUGCUAACGCAUAGGUGGAGUAGUACUUUCGUCAAUGUCAUUGCUUCAACAUCUGGAGCAUCUACACAUAUUGUUCCUAUAUAUGACCUGGUGAGUGCAAGCUACAGCUAG